rnacentral:rRNA from 1 species
GAUGAACGCUGGCGGCGUGCCUAACACAUGCAAGUCGAGCGGCAGCGAGGGGUGCUUGCACCCUGUCGGCGAGCGGCGGACGGCUGAGUAACGCGUGGGAACGUGCCCCAAAGUGAGGAAUAACUGCCCGAAAGGGUAGCUAAUACCGCAUAUUAUCUUCGGAUCAAAGGAUUUAUCCGCGUUGGGAGCGGCUCGCGUCGGAUUAGGUAGUUGGUGAGGUAAUGGCUCACCAAGCCGACGAUCCGUAGCUGGUCUGAGAGGAUGACCAGCCAGACUGGAACUGAGACACGGUCCAGACUCCUACGGGAAGCAGCAGUGCGGAAUCUACCAAAAUGGGCGAAAGCAUGAUGGAGCAACGACGCGUGAAGGACGAAGGCAUUCGGGUUGUAAACUGCUUUUAUAAGUGAGGAAUAUGACGGUAACUUAUGAAUAAGGAUCGGCUAACUACGUG